UGGAGAGUUUGAUCCUGGCUCAGGACGAACGCUGGCGGCGUGCCUAAUACAUGCAAGUCGAGCGGACCGACGGGAGCUUGCUCCCUUAGGUCAGCGGCGGACGGGUGAGUAACACGUGGGUAACCUGCCUGUAAGACUGGGAUAACUCCGGGAAACCGGGGCUAAUACCGGAUGCUUGAUUGAACCGCAUGGUUCAAUCAUAAAAGGUGGCUUUUAGCUACCACUUACAGAUGGACCCGCGGCGCAUUAGCUAGUUGGUGAGGUAACGGCUCACCAAGGCGACGAUGCGUAGCCGACCUGAGAGGGUGAUCGGCCACACUGGGACUGAGACACGGCCCAGACUCCUACGGGAGGCAGCAGUAGGGAAUCUUCCGCAAUGGACGAAAGUCUGACGGAGCAACGCCGCGUGAGUGAUGAAGGUUUUCGGAUCGUAAAACUCUGUUGUUAGGGAAGAACAAGUACCGUUCGAAUAGGGCGGUACCUUGACGGUACCUAACCAGAAAGCCACGGCUAACUACGUGCCAGCAGCCGCGGUAAUACGUAGGUGGCAAGCGUUGUCCGGAAUUAUUGGGCGUAAAGCGCGCGCAGGCGGUUUCUUAAGUCUGAUGUGAAAGCCCCCGGCUCAACCGGGGAGGGUCAUUGGAAACUGGGGAACUUGAGUGCAGAAGAGGAGAGUGGAAUUCCACGUGUAGCGGUGAAAUGCGUAGAGAUGUGGAGGAACACCAGUGGCGAAGGCGACUCUCUGGUCUGUAACUGACGCUGAGGCGCGAAAGCG
rnacentral:rRNA from 1 species